GCGUUCAACUAACCUGUUCUUUUUUGACUUCUUUUUUAUCUCCUAGCAUUGGGGGCAGAAGUCGUUUACUGAAAGAAAAGUCAAAAACGAACAGAAAGCCUCCCAAACGGGAGGCUUUUUUAAU
rfam:Vibrio nigripulchritudo str. SFn1 chromosome, complete genome.